AGGGAAGCAAUACCGCGAGGUGGAGCAAAUCCCUAAAAGCCAUCCCAGUUCGGAUCGCAGGCUGCAACCCGCCUGCGUGAAGUUGGAAUCGCUAGUAAUCGCGGAUCAGCAUGCCGCGGUGAAUACGUUCCCGGGCCUUGUACACACCGCCCGUCACACCAUGAGAGUCGGAACACCCGAAGUCCGUAGUCUAACCGCGAAGGGGGACGCGGCCGAAGGUGGGUUCGAUAAUUGGGGUGAAGUCGUAACAAGGUAUC
rnacentral:rRNA from 1 species